AUGGAAGGUGUUGCUACCUCAGCUGAUGUCGCCAUGCGCUGGCAUGUUUUUAAAAUCUGGGUUAGCGAGGCACGCUUGCGCAGCAGUGGAUAACCUUUCCGGAAAAUUUCCGGAAAUUGAAAUUCUGACGACUUGCCAGCUGUUGCUGUCAACAGCAAAUGGUAACAGUCAGGGAGCGUUUUGUCUUUUCUGACGUACCUGCCACAUCCUUUGGCAAAAAACUAUCAAGGCCUUCACGCACCGUAAUGCCUAUGGUACCCAAUUUUGAAUGGAGCGGAUGUCGAAGGUUUACUUAUCCUCAGCAUUCUUGUCAAUAUGGGGUAGGCCAAUCUUUUCACCUUUUAUGCAACAUUGAUUCAUUCAAAGGCAUCUUCAAGAUCCUUGUCAACCAUGAUGCAAGCCAAGUGCUGACAUUCACCUUUCGUAAAACACAAGUACAUAUCCUCUCCAUUCCUCCCAUGAGUACAACAGAAGACAACAUUUUGGGGUGACUAGAGACAGAUAAAUCCAUCAUCUGCAAUUAAUCCUGCCAUCUUUGAUGAACACUUCACACUUCAUUUUAUAUUUUCACCAUUUGUGACGCAAACCUUGUUUCUGCACAGGUAGUCUAAAUCACCUCUGUUGAGGCUUGUUGUCUCAAUUGGUUUUAAUCUUGGUGCAUGCAAUACAAUCCAUCAGUUUUCUUGUAAAUCAUCACUUCAUUCGAAUAAAGUUUGUCAUUUUAUUUAAAAUAAUAAUCGAAUAUAAUA